rnacentral:rRNA from 1 species
AUUGAACGCUGGCGGCAGGCUUAACACAUGCAAGUCGAGCGAGCGGCGGACGGGUGAGUAAGGUCUGGGAAACUGCCUGAUGGAGGGGGAUAACUACUGGAAACGGUAGCUAAAACCGCAUACCAUCAGAUGUGCCCAGAUGGGAUGAGCUAGUAGGUGGGGGAAUGGCUCACCUAGGCGACGAUCCAUAGCGGGUCGGAGAGGGUGACUAGCCACACUGGAACUGAGACACGGUCCAGACUACGACGGGAGGAAGCAGUGGGGAAUAUUGCACAAGGGGCGCAAGCCUGAUGCAGCCAUGCCGCGUGUGUGAAGAAGGCCGUCGGGUUGUAAAGCGCUUUCAGCGAGGAGGCGUUACUCGCAGAGGAAGCACCGGCUAACUCCGUGCCAGCAGCCGCGGUAAUUC